rnacentral:rRNA from 1 species
AACUAGGUGAGACAUAUGCUUAGCUUUUUCUGCUCAAUGAACAUUUAAAUAGCCGCAGUACCCUGACUGUGCAAAGGUAGCAUAAUCAGUUGGCUCAUAAUUGGAGUCUUGUAUGAACGAUCGCAUGGGUAGGGCCUGUCUUUAAACAACCCAUAGAACUUUUUGAGUAAGUGAAAAUACUUACUGAUACUUAAAAGACGAGAAGACCCUAGAAAUUUUACACUAAGGCGUAUAGUAACGUUUUAAUGUUUUGCUGGGGCGGCAGAGUAACACUAAACAACUUACUUUAUAUAUUAGAAUUUUAUUUACCGAUAGGCUAUAAUUACUCUAGGGAUAACAGCGUAAUUCUUUACAGCGUUUGCGACCUCGAUGUUGGACUAAGGAGGAGAGCACUCAGAAGGUGUUUUCCCGUGUUCUGUUCGAACAGCUUUCCUUACAUG